CAGCCGCCGCGGUAAAACGGAGGGAGCUAGCGUUAUUCGGAAUUACUGGGCGUAAAGCGCACGUAGGCGGCUUUGUAAGUUAGAGGCGAAAGCCUGGAGCUCAACUCCAGAAUUGCCUUUAAGACUGCAUCGCUUGAAUCCAGGAGAGGUGAGUGGAAUUCCGAGUGUAGAGGUGAAAUUCGUAGAUAUUCGGAAGAACACCAGUGGCGAAGGCGGCUCACUGGACUGGUAUUGACGCUGAGGCGCGAAAGCGUGGGGAGCAAACAGGAUUAGAUACCCGUGUAGUCCCUGUCUCUUAUAC
rnacentral:rRNA from 1 species